CCCUGGGCAAAAGGCAGGCGCCAAACCGCUGCGCCACCCAGGGAUCCCAGGAAGCCCUACCCCCAACGUGGGCUUGAACUCAUGACACCCAGGUCAAGAGUCGCAUGUGCUGCCAACUGAACAAGCCAGGUGCCCCUAUUUAUGAUUAUUAAUGGAGCCACUAAACUUGUAUUCUAAGGACUCAAGGGCCCUAAGCAUGAAAAUAACUACCACUUUCUGGGUGCCCUCCAUCUGCCUAGGACAGUGCCAGUGCAUACUUGCUCUCAUUUAUUUCUCACAAAUACCCUGUAGGAUGGGUGUCCUUAUCCUCAUUUUACAGAACCAGGUCAUGGGGCUAAAAGAAGUUGCUGAAUGUGGAACUCUGCUUCCCUGUGCUUUUCUCAUCAUUUGAAGCUGGAAAGAAAAAAGACAACUAUUUCUCUCACCUGAGUCACUGCUCCAACAGCAGGAAAGAAGAUUGUAGAUAACUCACCUGGUACCUCUAGAUCAAGGCUUAAUAAAAUUAUUUUCUUAUA